CAAGCCCUCCUGCUUGGCCCUGAUACGGCAAGGGCUCCCUUUCCUGAUCAUUAGCUCCGGGCAGCAACACUACCCUUAGGUUCAAGGAGAGUACAUCUGGAAGGGACCUAGAUGCCAAGGAAGCUAGUGGCUAAGCUGUGAGUGUCUCUAUGGAAAGGCCCACAUGACAAGAACUGAGUGAUGCCUCUGGCCAACAGCCAGGAGGAAAAUGGAAGCCUUCAUUCCAGCAGACAGCAAGAAACCACAUCUUACCAAAUAAUGGCAAGUGCAGGAAUGAGCGGCCCAGCCCAUGCUUUGCUCACAGCUCUGUAAGAAACCAUGAAGCAGAAGCAGCCAGCUAAACUGCACCCAAGCUUCUGACACAACAAAAAGGUGAGAUUAUAAAUAUUUUUAUUGUUUCAAAUCACUAAGUUUUGUGAUAAUUUGGUAUGAAGCCUAUCUAAUACAUAUUCACAGUGAUCCCUGAAAACAGCAAGAGAAUGCUACACAUACUGUAGUAUAUUCAUCCAUUUGGUAGACUGCUACACAGCAAUAAAAAGAAGACAAAUUUGUAAUACAGCCAAUAGUGUGGAUCAAUCUAAGACUGCUAGACAAAUAAGAGAAUGGCAGUCUGAUUCCAUUUAUAUGAGUCUAGAAAAGGGAAAACAUAUCUAAAUUGACAAAAAACAGAUUAAUGGAGGUGGGAGCUGACCAUAAAAGAGCAAAAAAAUCUUCUAUGGGUGACAAAAAUGUUCUAUGUCUUGAAUGCACUGAUACACAGGUACAUAUACCAUACCUUUGUCAUAACACACAGACCCAUGCACUUAAGACAGGCAUAAUUGAUCAUGUGCAAGGUAGGCCUUAAUAAAAUUGAUUUACAAAGUUAAAACACAUAAAUCCCAAGGCAAAUACUAGGUAUAAGUGUAGGACAGUAAAUUUUAAAACACUGUAGGAAAUGGACAGGUUCUGAGCAAAAUAUCGCUUGUAAAUAACAGAUAUUGGCCCAAAAGAAAUGAGAAACCAAAAGAUAUAGUGACCCUAUUGUAGAUUAAAAAGAUAAUUAAAGCACUAACAAAGGGCACUUAGAAUUAUUUAACUUCAUGACCUUCAAUUUCUUAACCUGUAAAAUGGAAAUAAAGUAACACACACAGUCUACUACGUUCAGUAAUAGUUUCCCUGAUAUCCAGGGGUUUUAAACCCUAUUGAUAGUUUUACUUCUCUAUUCAGAUCAACAUAAAACUAUUUAAUUCAGUCAACAAACAUUGAAUUCCUCCUUUUCAGAUUCUUUCCAAGGAGAUUCCCUAACUUCUCAGGACACAAGUCUUUGAUGGUUUUUUUUCCUGAAUCUAAUUAUAGAGAAAAAAGAAAUAACAACCAAAAGUAGGAAGCAGAAGGCUAAGUCGUUAGGAAAGAUAAAAACCACAAAACUGCACAGGAAGGAGGGUAAUAUUCUAAGAAACUCUUAAGCAUGUUAAAUACAUAUCCCCUCUGACAGCACUAGGGAGAUACAUCCAAUUCUGUACUGAAGGUUGCUGAGGUUUCAGAAGUCUAAGGCACUCUCCUGCACAGCUGACCUCUUAGCACCUCUAGUUACAGGGAAGAUAGACCUGGAACGUCUUUCCACCCCACCAGGGGAAGACUGGACCCAGGGUGGAGACUGCCACCUGGGAGGUUUGGCAGUGGUGUUCAGGGAAUGCAGCCUUUUGCCAGCUGGAGCUCUGAAAGAAUGCGGCAUGUCAGUUCUCUGCUGGCUUCCUCUCCUCGCAUACCACACAACUGUGUCUCUUCAUCUCCAAGAUCUGGCAGUGCUCAAGGAUUUCAGACAGCUUCCCGAGCCUCCCAAAGCUCUGAC
rnacentral:lncRNA from 1 species